rnacentral:rRNA from 1 species
UGCGUAGGCGGGCUAAUAAGUCAGAGGUGAAAUCCCACAGCUUAACUGUGGCACUGCCUUUGAUACUGUUAGUCUUGAGUCAUAAUGAGGUAGAUGGAAUGUGUAGUGUAGCGGUGAAAUGCAUAGAUAUUACACAGAACACCGAUUGCGAAGGCAGUCUACUAAUUAUGUACUGACGCUGAGGGACGAAAGCGUGGGUAGCGAACAGGAUUAGAUACCCUGGUAGUCC